rnacentral:rRNA from 1 species
GAUGAACGCUGGCGGCGUGCCUAAUACAUGCAAGUCGAGCGAACGGACGAGAAGCUUGCUUCUCUGAUGUUAGCGGCGGACGGGUGAGUAACACGUGGAUAACCUACCUAUAAGACUGGGAUAACUUCGGGAAACCGAAGCUAAUACCGGAUGAUAUUUUGAACCGCAUGGUUCAAAAGUGAAAGACGGUCUUGCUGUCACUUAUAGAUGGAUCCGCGCUGCAUUAGCUAGUUGGUAAGGUAACGGCUUACCAAGGCAACGAUGCAUAGCCGACCUGAGAGGGUGAUCGGCCACACUGGAACUGAGACACGGUCCAGACUCCUACGGGAGGCAGCAGUAGGGAAUCUUCCGCAAUGGGCGAAAGCCUGACGGAGCAACGCCGCGUGAGUGAUGAAGGUCUUCGGAUCGUAAAACUCUGUUAUUAGGGAAGAACAUAUGUGUAAGUAACUGUGCACAUCUUGACGGUACCUAACCAGAAAGCCACGGCUAACUACGUG